UUCAUGAAUUAAACUUCUGUCAGCUGAAGCCUCCAGCAUUGUUCUGCCCAUGUUCAGUAUGGAGGCUUCUGGCUCACAAGAAGUUUUAAUGGCACAGUACAGAGGAUCUGUCCUCAGUUUAUAAAGGACAUUCAAGAAGCCAUUACAUAAGAUGCCUCAAAGUAGCUGGAGAGGCAAGACACUACUGAAGCAAGAAAUGAAGAUACUUUUCUGUAGGCACUUCUGAGACCUUUAAAAGAAAGUAGAACAUUGGUCACACUUUUUUCAGUGUAAUUUUAGCCAAUGCAGUGGACAAAAGAGGAUGAUUAUAAUGAAAGAUUUAACAUCUUGUGCAAGAUCAAUAUCAGUACAUAAGAGCUGAUCUGAAAAUGGACGAUGAAUAAACUUGAG